rnacentral:rRNA from 1 species
AUACGUAGGGUGCGAGCGUUGUCCGGAAUUACUGGGCGUAAAGAGCUCGUAGGUGGUUUGUCGCGUCGUCUGUGAAAUUCCGGGGCUUAACUCCGGGCGUGCAGGCGAUACGGGCAUAACUUGAGUACUGUAGGGGAGACUGGAAUUCCUGGUGUAGCGGUGAAAUGCGCAGAUAUCAGGAGGAACACCGGUGGCGAAGGCGGGUCUCUGGGCAGUAACUGACGCUGAGGAGCGAAAGCAUGGGUAGCGAACAGGAUUAGAUACCCGGGUAGUCCAUGCCGUAAACGGUGGGCGCUAGGUGUAGGGGUCUUCCACGACUUCUGUGCCGUAGCUAACGCAUUAAGCGCCCCGCCUGGGGAGUACGGCCGCAAGGCUAAAACUCAAAUGAAUUGACGGGG